rnacentral:rRNA from 1 species
UACGUAGGGCGCAAGCGUUGUCCGGAAUUAUUGGGCGUAAAGAGCUCGUAGGCGGCUUGUUGCGUCGGCUGUGAAAACCCAUGGCUCAACCGUGGGCUUGCAGCCGAUACGGGCAGGCUAGAGUUCGGUAGGGGAGACUGGAAUUCCUGGUGUAGCGGUGAAAUGCGCAGAUAUCAGGAGGAACACCGGUGGCGAAGGCGGGUCUCUGGGCAGUAACUGACGCUGAGGAGCGAAAGCGUGGGGAGCGAACAGG